rnacentral:rRNA from 1 species
GAUGAACGCUAGCGGCAGGCCUAACACAUGCAAGUCGAGGGCAGCACGUCUUCGGAUGGUGGCGACCGGCGCACGGGUGCGUAACGCGUAUGCAACCUACCUCUUACAGUGGGAUAGCCCAGAGAAAUUUGGAUUAAUACCGCAUAGUAUACAGAUUCAGCAUUGGGACUGUAUUAAACNUUUAUGGGUAAGAGAUGGGCAUGCGUUCUAUUAGUUAGUUGGAGUGGUAACGGCACCCCAAGACAGCGAUAGAUAGGGGCCCUGAGAGGGGGAUCCCCCANACUGGUACUGAGACACGGACCAGACUCCUACGGGAGGCAGCAGUGAGGAAUAUUGGACAAUGGCGAGAGCCUGAUCCAGCCAUGCCGCGUGCAGGAAGACGGCCCUA